AGAGUUUGAUCAUGGCUCAGGAUGAACGCUAGCGGCAGGCUUAAUACAUGCAAGUCGAGGGGCAGCACGGUGUAGCAAUACAUGGGUGGCGACCGGCAAACGGGUGCGGAACACGUACGGAACCUUCCUUUCAGCGGGGGAUAGCCCAGAGAAAUUUGGAUUAAUACCCCAUAGUAUGAUGAUGUGGCAUCACAUUGUUC
rnacentral:rRNA from 1 species